rnacentral:rRNA from 1 species
UAGGGAAUCUUCCGCAAUGGGCGAAAGCCGGACGGAGCAACGCCGCGUGAGUGAUGAAGGUCUUCGGAUCGUAAAACUCUGUUAUUAGGGAAGAACAAAUGUGUAAGUAACUAUGCACGUCUUGACGUUACCUAAUCAGAAAGCCACGGCUAACUACGUGCCAGCAGCCGCGGUAAUACGUAGGUGGCAAGCGUUAUCCGGAAGUAUUGGGCGUAAAGCGCGCGUAGGCGGUUUUUUAAGUCUGAUGUGAAAGCCCACGGCUCAACCGUGGAGGGUCAUUGGAAACUGGAAAACUUGAGUGCAGAAGAGGAAAGUGGAAUUCCAUGUGUGGCGGUGAAAUGCGCGGAGAUAUGGAGGAACACCAGUGGCGAAGGCGACUUUCUGGUCUGUAACUGACGCUGAUGUGCGAAAGCGUGGGGAUCAAACAGG